rnacentral:lncRNA from 1 species
AUAUAUAUAUGCAACCAUGAAAUGCAUAUUUAGAAUAUAAAAGCAUUUGGCAUAUUAUUUCAAAGCACAUUUUCCUUAAAAAAAAAGUAUUUCUGGGAAAUAUACCAAGUAUAUAAAUAUAUAUUGAAAACAAAAGCCCACUCACUGGUAUGUCGACGGGUCGUAACCCUCGAGUCGCCUGUGGAUACGCUUGUCCUCGGGAUAGGCCUCACCUAUAUGCGAAUUAACUAUAAAAACGUUAUUUUAAAGCACAUAGACAAAACUAGCUA